rnacentral:rRNA from 1 species
UACGUAGGGUGCGAGCGUUGUCCGGAAUUAUUGGGCGUAAAGAGCUUGUAGGCGGUUUGUCGCGUCUGCCGUGAAAAUCCGGGGCUCAACCCCGGACUUGCGGUGGGUACGGGCAGACUAGAGUGUGGUAGGGGAGACUGGAAUUCCUGGUGUAGCGGUGAAAUGCGCAGAUAUCAAGAGGAACACCUGAGGUGAAGACGGGUUGCUGGGCCAACACUGACGCUGAGGCGCGAAAGCCAGGGGAGCAAACGGG